AUUGAGAAAGUUGUAUGGUCUGACGCAGCCGCUGGAUUUCACUUGCAGGUCUCACAUUGCUUUUGUGGCUAUCGCUGUUGUGUGCAUGCCUCUGAGUACAUCUGCAUUGUGUCAUCAUCGGUAGUUUUAUGACGUACAGUCUCUUCGGUGGGCUGUACUGCAGUUUAAAGUGCUUUUGGAUCAUUCUGCAGACAAAAUAUUGGAAAAAUCAGUAGACAAAAAAAACUGCAGACAACAUGAGUUGUGGAAAAGCAGAUGGGAUAUUGGAGCUUUUUACAGAUUUAUACCAUGCAUGCCAUUGAAGAGAUGGUCAACACAAAAGACAUGGAGAACAAGGUCUGGGGAAGAUCUUUCUCCACGACUAAUUUUAAGAUGUGGAGAAAAAGAGAAAAGAGCUUCCAGUCAUGGUCACCACGGGAGUGGAUUUCUUCAGUUAGCUUUGCGUCUGGCCGGCUGACAUGAGUGGCCUCUUUCCCUCCAACUAGUCUUGCAAGACUGGCAAGCUGUGGUAGUGUCUGGCUCCUUGGCUUUAGGCAAGAAUAUUUGCAUCUGUCAGAAUUGCUUGUUGGAUGUGCAAAUGUACAUUUCUAAGACGAUUGUUUACAUCCUACCUUAAAGGACACACCUCUAGAGGACGUAGUUUUCCUUCGCCCUCUCGCGCGCGCCCUCUGGUGGUUAAGAAGAGUCAUUUCUGAGGUGAUUAUAAAUCUUACAUUUUCAGAUGGAAUCUCAACUUUAUUUGCACUAAUUCGUAAGUUAUUUGAUAUCGUUUACAUAUAUGUACAUUUAAAUUUUGAGAAAAGUGGAUAAAUUACAGUAUAAUUUAAAAACUAUAGAAAUACACUGUUGCCAUGAAGUGAAUUGCCACUAUAAAAGGAUCAAUCUAGUCAGUUUUAACUAUUUUUAUUACCAAGUAUCAAUGUUAACAACAACAAUCAAUUUAAUAAAACAAACAAAACUAUAUUCAAUCGCAAAUAAUAUCACAAAGGAACAAUAACAUUUAUAUAUACAGAGCUAUAUGCAUCUCGUCUUACAGUGCGAUGGCAAAAACUAAUGCUGAAAGAUAAAAAGCAUUCAGAGAGAGGAAGAGGAAUGAUUACAAUUUCAAGGAAAAGGAAAGAAAGAGAAAACAAGCAGAGAGACUAAGAAAGAAGGAAACAAUCAAAACAAGAGGCAGAGAGAUUCAGGGAGAAUGCUAGACAAAGGCAGAAGAAAAGUUAUUUGCUCAAGAAGUCACAGGUUCUUUAUUCCAGGAGUCACCAAAGAGAUCACCAUUUAAAUCAAGACAGUCUCUAGGCAAGGUAGUAAAAUGAGUACUCCAAGCUUUACCAAGCAGCCCUCGCAAAAAAUUGCCAUAUCACUGUGCCGCCUUCCAGAUAAAAAAAAUAAAUAAAAAUCGUGUGACUGCCACAAGUACUGUAUAUGAUCAUGUCAGGGAAUUCUAUGAAAGAGAUGACAUUUCAAGGCAAGCACCAGGGAUGAGGGAUGUGGUCAUGGUCAGAGAGCGAGGAGUAAAAAGAGAUUCAGAAACGACAUUUGACCAUGUCUAUUCUGGAGGCCUACUGGCGUUUCAAAAGUGAACAUCCGGAGUCUAUAAUUGGGAAACCUAAGUUUGCUGAGCUCUGACCAUCUCAUGUAUUCCGGUGUUCAGACACUCCAAGAAAUGUGUGCCUUUGCCGAUACCAUGAAAAUAUGAAAUUAGCCCUGGACUGUGUGCAACGUGUUAUCCCAAGGCAAGCAUUUCAGAGCACACAGGAUUUUGUUGAAGCUGUGGUUUUAUGUUGUUGUAAGCCGGUUCCCGCCUCCUUGCCCAUCUCUUACCUUGUUACAUUGGUGCCAAAACCCGGGAGGGAGGAGGGAUGCACUGUCAUGGAGUCCUCGCCACUGCCAUCCGCCAAGAAGGGGAGGAGCUGUUCUGUCCGCCAGGGGUCGGAGGGAUCGCUACUGUCCGCCGGGGGAGGAGUGAGCUGUUGUCUGCCAGAGGGCAGAGGAGCGGUUGAGGACCAGGCGACAACUUGUCUGGGAACUGACGAGCAAGUUUUUUCUCUCUCUCUCACUCUCUCUCUCUCUCUGUCGCUCCACCACACAUUUUCCCUCUACCAUUUCCCUCCCCUCGUCUCUCCCAGGGCUCCAGAAAGGCAGGGAAGGGCAAUGCCCCCCCCCCCCUCCAGGAAGGGAGGGGAGUGCAUCUUGCUGGGAGUUUCCUCGACCUGAGUCGGGCGAUGGAGGAGUGUGAUGAGGAGGAGCCCUGAAUCGGGUUAAUCAGUCAGGAGAGGGAUAAAGAUGAGCCGGAGGCACCAGUUCAAGAGAGAGAGAGAGACGCACGUGGCCGCAUUGUGUGUGUCUGUGUGUCUUUUAUGUUUUAUGUUCUUGUAAGUUCAUUUAUAUCAUUAAACUUUACGUUGACUGUUCAGCCGGUUCCCGCCUCCUCCUUGCCCAUCUCUUACCUUGUUACAGCGUAUCCUUAGUCACCCCUUAUGCAAAGAAAAUAUAUUUCCUUAUAUAUUAAGGCUCAAUAUAUUAAAUAAUUUUCAGUAUAUUCAUAAUUAUAUAGAAUAUUACAUUGUGUUAAUAUAUUACAAUAUACUGAGUAAUACAUAAGGAAUUGCCACUUUUCAUAUAUUGGGAAAUAUAUGACAAUAUAUGUCCUUAUAUAUUGUAAUGUAUGUCAUUUUAUAUUCAAUAAUACACUUCAUAAUAUAUAGAUGUGCAUGUGAUAAAAAAUGGUAGUGUGUGCUUAAAUAUAUUUUAACAUAUAUGUUGUACAUAUAGUCACAUUUAUAUGGAAAUAUGUAUGAGCAAUAUAUGUACACAAUUCUGAGGAAAUAUAU